GACGAACGCUGGCGGCGUGCCUAAUACAUGCAAGUUGAGCGCUGAAGGUUGGUACUUGUACCAACUGGAUGAGCAGCGAACGGGUGAGUAACGCGUGGGGAAUCUGCCUCUGAGCGGGGGACAACAUUUGGAAACGAAUGCUAAUACCGCAUAAAAACUUUAAACACAAGUUUUAAGUUUGAAAGAUGCAAUUGCAUCACUCAAGGAUGAUCCCGCGUUGUAUUAGCUAGUUGGUGAGGUAAAGGCUCACCAAGGCGAUGAUACAUAGCCGACCUGAGAGGGUGGUCGGCCACAUUGGGACUGAGACACGGCCCAAACUCCUACGGGAGGCAGCAGUAGGGAAUCUUCGGCAAUGGACGAAAGUCUGACCGAGCAACGCCGCGUGAGUGAAGAAGGUUCUCGGAUCGUAAAACUCUGUUGGUAGAGAAGAACGUUGGUGAGAGUGGAAAGCUCAUCAAGUGACGGUAACUACCCAGAAAGGGACGGCUAACUACGUG
rnacentral:rRNA from 1 species